rnacentral:rRNA from 1 species
UACGAAGGGGGCUAGCGUUGUUCGGAAUCACUGGGCGUAAAGGGCGCGUAGGCGGCCGAUCAAGUCGGGGGUGAAAGCCUGUGGCUCAACCACAGAAUUGCCUUCGAUACUGUUUGGCUUGAGACCGGAAGAGGUUAGUGGAACUGCGAGUGUAGAGGUGAAAUUCGUAGAGAUCGGAAAGAACACCAACGGCGAAAGCACUCUGCUGGGCCGACACUGACACUGAGAGACGAAAGCUAGGGGAGCGAAUGGG